rnacentral:rRNA from 1 species
UACGUAGGGUCCGAGCGUUGUCCGGAUUUGUUGGGCGUAAAGAGCUCGUAGGCGGUUCCGUAAGUCAGAUGUGAAAACUCAGGGCUCAACCCGGAGACGCCAUCUGAUACUGCGGUGACUGGAGUCUGGUAGGGGAACACGGAAUUCCUGGUGUAGCGGUGAAAUGCGCAGAUAUCAGGAAGAACAUCGGUGGCGAAGGCGCUCUGCUGGACCAUAACUGACACUCAGGGACGAAAGCUAGGGGAGCGAAUGGG